UGACGAAAAGGCAAACCCAUCGCAAGGUGGGGGCGCAAAACUAUAGGGUCCAUGGAAAUUGGAUAGCCAGUUGCCGAAU
rnacentral:ncRNA from 1 species